ACAAACAUAAACAAUUGACAUCAAAGCUUGUGUGAAUAGUAAAAUCGUUGUUUCAAUUUGAAAUUAUGAAAAUUAAAAAGAAAUUAGACGGAAAAUCAUACAAUACAAUUGGAUUAGGUGUCAGUUCCAUCUGCAUAUCGAAUGUAAAUCAACAAAUCAUCUGAUAAGAAGAAAUUUACAUCGAAACAUUUCAUGAUGAUGGAAACAGAAAUAUCUUUGAAAUUGAGAGAGAGAGAGAGAGAGAGAGAGCGAGAGUGUGUGUGUAUGUCUGGCCGAAUGAAUGACUGAGUGAGUGAGAGAUGAUUGGGAAACCAUUGGGAAUUAGAGAGAUGAGCCGGUGUUCACACAACAGCAUCAGAGCAACGCCACAGCGACAUUACAUUGGGCAGCGAAUGUACGAACAUACGAGAGCAGUAACACACACAAAGAGAGAGGGAAAGGGAGACACACAUUUUUGUGAGUAUUUUAGCCAGUCAGUGAAAACAAGAUGUGUACAGUUUGUCGGAAAUGGAUUGAAAUUUUAACAAAUAAAAUGGCAUC